GAAGUCUGGAGCGAGCGCUAAAGCUGC
rnacentral:sRNA from 1 species